UGGGUCGGGUUAUUUAGCCAACCAAAAUGGCAGUACAGGCUCCGACCGAGGACUGAGGAAGCUUAGGAUGACUAAUAAGAAUGGUUGCGGCGAGUGUUUUGUUGUGAAAGUAUUAGAAGAAUGUGUAAGAAACAUACGGUGCUCAUGAUGCAACUUCCUGGAUGGUGUGUAAACUGUUUAUCAGCAUGUGAAAUCCACAUGAUUGAAGGAGAAGUCUUCCUUGUUAAAGAUCAGCAACGGCAGAUAAACAAUGCAUGAUGCAAUCUGCUCACUAAAAAGAUUACACCAAUACAUCCCAUGACAUGUAUUUCUACCUAUCACCUAUGUAACCUUUGUCAUGCUCUUCAGAGAGUCAUCGACAGGAAAAGGAAUUACCGGUAAGUUGACAGGACUUUCCACACUGUUUCUGGUAGCAGCUUAUGAUUGAAUUGAUGGUAGAAGACAUGGCCCACUUAAUCAAAGAUAAUCUGUAUAGAGUGGCACCUUAACCACCACUGGUGAAAUAGAAGAUGACUAGUGGAUGGUCAUCACUUUGCAGCUCACUUUCACUUUCUGCAGCCCAUCUCUUCUCAUCCACAAUCAUUGUCUUUGGAGGAAUGGUGACAGUACAGUCCUCAUGGCUGGGCAGGUCUACUGCAUGUUGACAGCUGAUACUUGUUCUCUAUUUACUCCAAGAGGCCUACUACAUUGUACCUCAGUUAUGACUGUACUCGUGCUGGCUUCUGUGAUGUUAAUUUCCUUUACCUGCACUGCAUUAAACUUGGUCAAUUCUGUUACUGUCGAACACCAACAGAUGAAAAUAAGAUUAAGCUGAUCUUGCCAACAUUGUGACAUAAGCGGUCCAAUGUCCAAUAUCUCACUCUGCAGUCAAACAUCAUUUUUUUUAUGAACGCUCAGUAAAACAUUGGAAAUGUUAGACUUUUUUAGUAUUGAUUUAUAUAGUUACACAUUUUUUAAGUAAUAACAAUUCUUUUUAUGCCCCCGGAUCGAAAGAUCCUGGGGGUAUAUUGUUUUUGUCCUGUCUGUCUGUUUGUCUGUUUAUCUGUUUGUCUGUUUGUCUGUCUGUCUGUUGUCACCUUUAAUCUUGCCCAUAACUUUUGAUUGGUUGGAGCUAUGACAUAUUUCACAUGUUUAUUUCUUGUGACAAGACCUUUCUUUGGGUACCAUCAUAUUUGACCUUUUGACCUUGACCUUGGAGUUUGACCCACUUUUGCAAAAUUUUAUGAGACUUUAACCUUGGCCAUAACUUCUGAACAGUUGGUGCUUGGGGUUUCAAACUUCACAUGUGUAUUCUUUGUGACAAGGCCUUCCUUUGGAUACCAACAACUUUGACCUUGACCUUGGAGUUUGACCUACUUUUGAAAAACUUUAACCUUGGCCAUAACUUUUGAACGGUUAGAGCUAGGGCUUUCAUACUUUAUAUAUGUAAUUCUUGUGACAAUACCUUCCUUUGGAUACCAACCACUUUGACCUUUUGACCUUGACCUAGGAGUUUGACCUACUUUCGAAAAACUUUAACCUUGGCCAUAACUUUUGAAUGGUUGCAGCUAGGGCUUUCAUACUUCACAUAUGUAAUCCUUGUGACAUCACCUUCCUUUGAAUACCAACCACUUUGACCCUUUGACCUUAACCUAGUAGUUUGACCUACUUUUGAAAAACUUUAACCUUGGCCAUAAUUUUUGAAUGGUUGGUGCUAGGGCUUUCAUACUUCACAUAUGUAAUCCUUGUGACAAGACCUUCAUUUGGAUACCAACCACUUUGACCCUUUGACCUUGACAUAGGAGUUUGACUUACUUUCGAAAAACUUUAACCUUGGCCAUAACUUUUGAAUGGUUGCAGCUAGGGCUUUCAUACUUCACAUAUGUAAUCCUUGUGACAAGACCUUCCUUUGGAUACCAACAACUUUGACCUUGACCUUAACGUUUUACUGACUUAUAAAAAAACUUUAACCUUCGCCAUAACUUUUGAACAGUUGCAGCUAGCGCUUUCAAAUUUAACAUUUUUUAUCUUUUGGCCUGGAUUUUGACUUGCAUUUGAGAAACUUUUACCUUCGCCAUAAGCUGCCAUACGGGGGCAUCAGUGUUUCACAAACACAUCUUGUUAUUGAUGUAUGUUUAAGUAUGCAAAAAUGAACAUUGAUGAUAUUAAAGGUGAGGUAUUUAUUUGUGAUUUCUCUUCUGAAUAAAAUUUUAUAUCAAUAA